AGUUUCAGCCACAACAACAACCAACGAUACUUCAACAAAACUACAAGCUCGUGCAGAUUGUUCUGCUCUGGACUACAUAAUGUUGGUUAUGCGUGUGGCUGAACUCCUCCUAAUUACUGUGAUUACUGUUCUUCUCAUCAGAGCUCGAGAGACUACCUGACAACAACACAGUGACCUACAGCAGCGUGAAAGCUUCCUCUUCUUCUGCUGGAGCCUCAGCUGAUCCCAGCGACCUCUACGCCACCGUCAACAAACCAAACAAAUAAGAGACCACAGUGUAGUUACAGCUCAUAU